rnacentral:tRNA from 1 species
GGAGAGGUGGUCGAGUGGUUGAAGGCACCGGUCUAGAAAACCGGCUUAGGGUUUCCCCCUAACGUGGGUUCGAAUCCCACCCUCUCCGCCA